rnacentral:rRNA from 1 species
UCCUGGUAGUCCACGCUGUAAACGAUGUCGACUUGGAGGUUGUGCCCUUGAGGCGUGGCUUCCGGAGCUAACGCGUUAAGUCGACCGCCUGGGGAGUACGGCCGCAAGGUUAAAACUCAAAUGAAUUGACGGGGGCCCGCACAAGCGGUGGAGCAUGUGGUUUAAUUCGAUGCAACGCGAAGAACCUUACCUACUCUUGACAUCCACGGAAUUCGCCAGAGAUGGCUUAGUGCCUUCGGGAACCGUGAGACAGGUGCUGCAUGGCUGUCGUCAGCUCGUGUUGUGAAAUGUUGGGUUAAGUCCCGCAACGAGCGCAACCCUUAUCCUUUGUUGCCAGCACGUAAUGGUGGGAACUCAAAGGAGACUGCCGGUGAUAAACCGGAGGAAGGUGGGGAUGACGUCAAGUCAUCAUGGCCCUUACGAGUAGGGCUACACACGUGCUACAAUGGCAUAUACAAAGAGAAGCGAACUCGCGAGAGCAAGCGGACCUCAUAAAGUAUGUCGUAGUCCGGAUUGGAGUCUGCAACUCGACUCCAUGAAGUCGGAAUCGCUAGUAAUCGUAGAUCAGAAUGCUACGGUGAAUACGUUCCCGGGCCUUGUACACACCGCCCGUCACACCAUGGGAGUGGGUUGCAAAAGAAGUAGGUAGCUUAAC